rnacentral:rRNA from 1 species
UACGUAGGGGGCAAGCGUUGUCCGGAUUUAUUGGGCGUAAAGAGCGUGUAGGCGGUCAGGUAGGUCCGUUGUGAAAACUCGAGGCUCAACCUCGAGACGCCGAUGGAAACCAUCUGACUAGAGUCCGGAAGAGGAGAGUGGAAUUCCUGGUGUAGCGGUGAAAAUGCGCAGAUAUCAGGAAGAACACCCCGUGGCUAAGGCGGCUCUCUAGUACGG